UACAGAGGGUGCAAGCGUUAUCCGGAUUUACUGGGUUUAAAGGGUGCGUAGGUGGGUCUGUAAGUCAGUGGUGAAAUCCUCCAGCUUAACUGGAGAACUGCCAUUGAUACUGGGAGACUUGAGUACAGACGAGGUAGGCGGAAUUGACAGUGUAGCGGUGAAAUGCAUAGAUAUUGUCAAGAACACCGAUUGCGAAGGCAGCUUACUAGACUGUAACUGACGCUGAGGCACGAAAGUGUGGGGAUCAAACAGG
rnacentral:rRNA from 1 species